rnacentral:rRNA from 1 species
AUUGAACGCUGGCGGCAGGCCUAACACAUGCAAGUCGAACGGUAGCACAGAGAGCUUGCUCUCGGGUGACGAGUGGCGGACGGGUGAGUAAUGUCUGGGAAACUGCCCGAUGGAGGGGGAUAACUACUGGAAACGGUAGCUAAUACCGCAUAACGUCGCAAGAACAAAGUGGGGGACCUUCGGGCCUCACACCAUCGGAUGUGCCCAGAUGGGAUUCGCUAGUAGGUGGGGUAAGGGCUCACCUAGGCGACGAUCCCUAGCUGGUCUGAGAGGAUGACCAGCCAAACUGGAACUGAGACACGGUCCAGACUCCUACGGGAGGCAGCAGUGGGGAAUAUUGCACAAUGGGCGCAAGCCUGAUGCAGCCAUGCCGCGUGUAUGAAGAAGGCCUUCGGGUUGUAAAGUACUUUCAGCGGGGAGGAAGGCGGUGAAGUUAAUAGCUUCACCGAUUGACGUUACCCGCAGAAGAAGCACCGGCUAACUCCGUGCCAGCCGCCGCCGUAA